rnacentral:lncRNA from 1 species
AAAAUAUUUAUUUAAAUCAAUUUUGGGAAAACGUUAUUGUAAUUUGAAGAAACAUAAUCAAUAAACUACACUUUGAACAUUAAGCUGUAUCCUAAUCGUUUUGAAAAAUAAGAAGUUUUUGUAGUGAAAUUUAACUAAGGCUUUAUAUGUUAACCUCCUUAGGAUCAAACACAAAUCAUAUUCCAAACAGACACGCAUCCACUGAAAUCUAUGAAUCAGAAUUCUGAUUUUCUUUUAUUAGAACUACAAAUGUUGUACUCUAGAACAGAGUAAAGUUAAAUGACCGAAAGACCAUUUUAAAUUAUUCUUGUCCUAUUGUUUGUUGUCAUAAAUGAAAUUCGCUAUCGUCACAUGUUGCAAAGAAUUACUAGUAUCGUCAAUGUACAUUGUAGACGGUUUGUGUGACGCGAGGUUUGCCUAGGCACAACACAAAACCAGGUUAAACCCACCAUUUUUUUCCUAAAAUAUCCUGGACCAAGUCAGAAAAAUGUCACUUGUUAUCUUAUAGUUUGUUUCUAUGUAUGUUGCAUUGUCGUUUGUCUUUGUUGCACUUUAGUGCCUCUCCUUCUUGUAAAAAAAAAAACACCAAGAAUUUGUAAAUGAGAUUGUUAUGAUUAAUUGUGGAACUGUACCUCA